rnacentral:rRNA from 1 species
UGGGGAAUAUUGCACAAUGGGCGCAAGCCUGAUGCAGCGACGCCGCGUGAGGGAUGACGGCCUUCGGGUUGUAAACCUCUUUCAGCAGGGACGAAGCGCAAGUGACGGUACCUGCAGAAGAAGCACCGGCCAACUACGUGCCAGCAGCCGCGGUAAUACGUAGGGUGCGAGCGUUGUCCGGAAUUACUGGGCGUAAAGAGCUCGUAGGCGGUUUGUCGCGUCGUCUGUGAAAUUCUGCAGCUUAACUGCAGGCGUGCAGGCGAUACGGGCAGACUUGAGUACUACAGGGGAGACUGGAAUUCCUGGUGUAGCGGUGAAAUGCGCAGAUAUCAGGAGGAACACCGGUGGCGAAGGCGGGUCUCUGGGUAGUAACUGACGCUGAGGAGCGAAAGCGUGGGUAGCGAACAGGAUUAGAUACCCUGGUAGUCCACGCCGUAAACGGUGGGUACUAGGUGUGGGUUCCAUUUCACGGGAUCCGUGCCGUAGCUAACGCAUUAAGUACCCCGCCUGGGGAGUACGGCCGCAAGGCUAAAACUCAAAGGAAUUGACGGGGGUCAUAGCUG